ACUGUACACUCUAGCUCUCAACCCUGUUUUUAUUCAUCAACUGUGGAUUCAUAUUUUGAAUAAGACAAUUACUACAGGGACUGGGAAAGAAAUCCCCAUCUUGCAACUUAUUCAUCAAGGACAAAACCUAACUACAACUGAGGCCAGUCAUAUUGUACCCAUGUUGUCACUGUUUUGUGCGUUGUUCAGUCAUUCUCUGUUUUCUGUUGGUGACAAGGAGUUCUUUGGGGAACAAAAAG